GCAGAGCAGAGCGGACAACAACAAUAAAAAAAAUUACAAGAAACAAUUGCCGAAAUAUGUUAAAAUAUCACCAAAGAACAUGCCUUAUACAGUGGGGUCUCUACUUAAGAACUUAAUCCGUAUUGGAAGGUGGUUCUCAAGUUGAAAAGUUCUUAUGUUGAAUCUGCAUUUCCCAUAGGAAUGCAUUGAAAACCAUUUAAUCCGUAUCUGCUCUUUUCCGUCCAUAGAAACUACAGUGGAACCUCUACUUAAGAACUUAAUCCGUUUUGGAAUGGUGUUCUUAAGUUGAAACGUUCUUAAGUUGAAGCAAAAUUUCCCAUAGGAAUGGACUGAAAACCAAUUAAUCCGUUCUGGCUGUUUUUUUGUUAUGUAGAGGUGCGUUCGUACAUUGAAGCAUUAGUUCCCAUAGGAACUAAUGCAAAGCUGGUUAAUACGUACUCUACCACUAGGGGGAGAAUUUUUUUUAACCUAAGAUGACCUAAGGUUAAAAAAAGAGCAGGAAAGGUUUUUUUCCUGUUCUUAUCUUGGAUUUCUGUUCUCAAGUAGAAGCAAAAUUUAGCAAAUGGAGCUGUUCUUAAGUUGGAUUGUUCUUAAGUAGGGACGUUCUUAAGUAGAGACCCCACUCUAUCCAUAAACACCUAAUUUGGGAUCGUUAAAGUUAAGCAAAAGCAUUUUCAGACAAAGAGAAAUGUGUCUGGAAGUAUGUGUAAUUCAAGAAAUAGGCAUAGUGCUAGUAAUUACAACCUAUUAAAAUGUUUACUUUUCCCCCAUGCUUCUGUUCACUGUAGCUAAUGAAAAAGAAAUAGAACAGGGCAGAGAUCCAGUAGAAAGCCCUGACAAAAUAGAACCAAAGUUUUUACGCAACAUAGAAAAGACAUCUGACAAGGAAGACAUUCUUGAAUUGGGUCAACCAGAAGAGGAUGAUGACAUUUUGGCACAGGCUGGAACUUCAGAUGAAACAGGGUUCAGAAAUGUCCUUGAGAGUCACAAAAGAAAACCAGAUAUGGCUACAACCCUUGAAUCAGUUGAUCCACAAACAGGGGAAGACUUGAUUGCAGGUCUAUCUAAAGACAAGGGUGAUACAAUGAAAGACAGCAAUAAUCCAUCUGAAGUAGACUCUGCUGCUCCACAUUUUCCUGCUGCCUUUGAUGGUGCAAUACUAUUAGCAAAGGAGAAUAUGCAACCACUUGCAAAGAUGGUAAGCAUUUUUUCUGCUUAAAAUAUACAUAUUGUUUGUGUGGAUAAUAUAUAAUUACAUAUUUGAAAAUCAGAAGUUAUGAAGCUAACUUAUUCUGUGCAGAAAUAAGGUUCUAGUGAGUUUGAUGGCAACCCCUCCAUAUCAGUGUGUGUUGAACUCCUGUGUUAAAAGCAAUUGAUUUCAAUGGCACUUACUCCUAAGAAAACAUACGGGUGUUACCUCUUCUGAAGGACCUUUUAUAAGGCUAUGUAUGCAGUGGACAAAAUCAGUACAUGGGUGGGCAAUUUUAGGUUAAAAGACAGUAAUACUGAAAUGGUUACACACAUUUUCCCUCAUAUGCACCUCUGAACUGGAGUCACUUCCAAGGAGACAGGGAUUGGGCCAUUUCAACAGUGCAGCCCCCUCUCUCUUCCAGGCCCACAAUUCUGCCCUAAUUGUAGCCCCCUCCUCUCCACUGAAUGAAACCCAGCAAGAUCCCAAUACCAUCCCUAGCCCCAAUCCGCACAUGAAGGGCCUCCAGACCUGGCUUCACGACCGAGGAGUGCCUAGUAACCUCUAAUGAUUUUCUAUAAACAAUGGCAACUCCUCCCCCCCCGCCCCUCCAGUCUGCCCAAAGAAUAUCUUCUUUCCUAACAGGUCUUUUGAAUGGAAGGAGUGCUUUUCAAGGUUGUACAACAGCCAAGGCAUGCAGCUUCAAAAAGGAAGCAGUAAAGGCAGCAAAUCAAGUUUUUGGAGCCCAGAUUUCCCAGGCAGACUGCAAACCCGCAGAAAAAUUACACCCCCCCCCGAGAACUGUAGAAUGAAGAAAAUAAACUCAUCCAGAAUGCAGAACA
rnacentral:lncRNA from 1 species